GCAUUGCUGAAGAAUCCCAUAAUAGGAAGAAACGAUCGUCCAGUGC
rfam:Schistosoma rodhaini strain Burundi genome assembly, scaffold: SROB_scaffold0001019